GAGAACUUGUAAAAGUCUCACAGGUCACAGGGUGUUGCUUCAAAAGAAACACAGAAGACACUUGCUCUUUCUGUAUCCCAGUAUGAGGAUGCGGUUUUUUUACUUUACAGUCAUGGCACUUCUUUCAGACAAUGUUCUUGCAAAUUCAAUAACAUCCCACUCUACUGAAAAGCAUGCGUUAGAAGGAGAGAAGACGACUCUUUCCUGCAACUACAGUGGAAGCAAUAUUAACAGUUUUCAGUGGUACAGACAGUCUUCCAACACUGCCCCUGAGUUUAUCUUGCAAGCUUUUGAAAGUUUGGGACAACAGCAGAAGGACCAAUAUAUUGCUAAAGUUCGAAAGGACGAAAAACAACUGGACCUGGAGAUCUCCAAAACUGAAACAGCAGACUCUGCAAUAUACUACUGUGCCCUGGUGCCCACAGUAACAGGAAACCCUUCUACACUGUACAAAAACCUGAGUAUGAUCCUCAUUUCAGAAAACAUCUGAAC